UAUGAUCCAAGAUUACCCUCAAAAAUAAAAUCAUAAGAAAACACAAACAGAGUAGGGUGAGAGCAAGUAUGUCCCUUUUGUCCUACAAUAGGGAGAAUCCUAGUACCAGGUAAGUGCUAUUUAAUUGAAUAGUUCUAUCUUAUGAGAUAGUUUACUACGGCUUCCAGCUAUUGUGAUAGUUUAGCUCAAGGUCUAAUUUUCUAAAAGCCACAGGUUCCCAAAUUGCCCCUACUGUAAACAGUAGAGCCUCAUUCUACCCCCAUGACAUUGUCGGGAAAAUUCC
rnacentral:misc_RNA from 1 species